CAUGGGCCCAGUUAAUUACAGUUGACACAUUGCGAUAUAUAGGAGUUGCUCCUGCCUGCCUGUGUGAACAGGCUAUCUUUAAGUUUGCCCCAAGAGCUGUGACUCUGGACUCUGAGAUAGACGGGAUGGAAUCAGUAAACAGUAAUGCAGACCUCAUAAAGAACGUGUGGGAGAUCAGGUUCAGAGACCAGGUCCAGAAGCAGCAGCUUGAAGGAGUGCGGGCGGAGCAAAGUGCCCUGGAGAAGAUCAAUCGAGAAUGGCAGAACCGUAUGGGCGACAAAUACAAGUCUCAAAGGAGGCAGGAGAAGAAGCCUCCGGUACCUGAAAGUGCACCACCAAGACCUAGAAUUUCAGUGAGCAAAACAAGGUCACCAGAAACCGAUAACGGGCCUAGUGGCUUCCCACUUGGUCGUCGACCUCUGUUGAAGACUCUUCAGAAGGGUGACAAGCUCUCCUUGCUGAAAAGCUCCCAGCCUAGUGGGUCAGUAUGGUCAACAUCUUGGAAGUUCUCCAAGGCACCAGGAGAAGGUUCAAACAAACCAGAGGGUUCUGAGUGGGGAAAGUCAUGGAAAUGCUUGAAUUUUCAACCACAGCUUGAUGGCCAAGCUUGGAUUGAGCAAGAGUGCACCAACUGUGAGCAGAGGGAGGUAAACUUGUGGGAAAAAACGGAUAGGCCUAUUGAUACAUUGCCAUCUUUGGAGAAUCAGUUGUCAUCAGAGUGGGAGACAUCUUGGAAGUAUAAAAAAUAUGGGGGGAAGAAAAUGGAGGGUGCAACCAACGAGCCCAUGUCUGGGCCGAUGGCUCGAUUAAUGUGCCUUGAGGCAUCACAGCGCAGAAAUGAGGAGAACUGCUCAUCUGAAUGGAGUCAAUCUUGGCAGAGCACAAAACCCUCCGAUGUGUGCUUUGAGGAAGAUAUGGCCCAGAAUGAAGAAAGUUAUCAACAGGGCAACGGAGAACAAUCCGAAUGCAAGUGGGGCUCAUCUUGGAAGUAUUUCAAUCAUCAGUUCCAUUCUGUAUCAAACUCCUCUGGAAAAACAUCAAAGGUAUCUGGAUGGGCUGAGGCUUGGAAGAUCUCAAAACCAGUUGAGAAACAUGAUGAGUCUUCAGAAACAUCAGGCGAUGUAUUGGAUAGUGCACCACUAGACCCCAAUGUUUAUGGCGUGAUAAUACCGGUAUGCAGGCCUGAGAAAUAUAAAUUAGGGAGUGCCCAGUUCUGUGAGGGAAAUAACCCCAUGGCUGAAUGGGGAAAUUCUUGGGAGGUUGCUAAAAACAUGUCCAUUCUAGAAAGUGUGAAACCCAGAAAGAAAGUGGAACCCAAGGAAAAGAAAGAUGAGGGAAUUAAGGUAGAAGAGAGUGAACCUGAUAACGGAUUGCCUAAAAGGCUCAAGCCCAAAGAUAGAUUGGAAAUUCGGCAAAAUCGUAUGAAUCUUCUUUUAAAAUGUGACCUUUCUUAUGAGUGGAAUGAGGCUUGGAAACUCCCCAGAUCUCAGCCUAAGAAAGACCAUUGUGCAAAGCAAGAUGCUGCUGUACUGAAUGGCCCAAUGAUCCUCCAACCCCAUUUGAAGAAAAGAUGUCUGCCAGAUUGGAAGGAAUCUUGGAAAUGCUCAAGGUCCCGGCCCAGUUUCGGCAAGCCCUCAGCCACUGAGUGGAAAGAUUCAAGCUUAUUAGGUUAUGAGCUCAGAACAGGCAGAGAACAGUGGAUGAGGGAGAUAGGCAUUGGGAAAAUACAGGACAAAUAUGAAGUAUUCUCUCUUCCAAAAAGGGGCAUAAAAGCAGAGAUGCUGAAUUCCAUUGGCACAAAAGAGAAGUAUACUUUUUCUCCUGAAUGGAAAGAGUCCUGCAAGUCUUUGAAGCAUCAGAUCAGAACUGAGGUAGUCAGAACUAGGCCCAAUAGAUCAAGGCAAUUUAGAGAGCCUGAAAAAGGAGAAACACCUGCGUCUGAGUGGGCCACAGCAUGGAAAUGCACAAAUGGUACACUGAACCAGGACAGCAGUCUUUGGGAUCAAGGCUGGUCCUCAACUGAAAAUGUCAGACAAGACAGAGGGGCAAGGGAACAUGAACACCACAACGAAGAGGUUCCUCACAAUGGCCCAACUGGAAACAGAGGAUGGCAUGACUCUUGGAGGUUCACAAGAGGACAGCACCGCGUAGAGGGCGCCACUGCAGCACAACCUUCAGCUCUGCCUGCUCAGCGACAGCAGCAGCGCAGGAGAAGCCCCCUUGCAGCAGGGUGGGAGGACUCCUGGAGGGUCUCAAGCACCCAAUGCAGACAAACCCUUCAUGACGGACCCUCUAUGAUAGAGUGGUCGGAUUCAUGGGAGUUCUCUGGAAUCAACUGGUAUGAGAGUCCACCACAAGAAAAAUGGCUUGAAGAAUCUAUGGAGAUCAGGCCCAGGAAAACCCUCCAUCGUGUGCCAAAAGUGGGGCAAUUUAGCAGAUCUUUCAACCCUGAUGUGUUUAAGGAGAGAGUUCCUCCAUCAGAAUGGAUGGAAUCGUGGAGAGUGGCAACCCUUCAGAGACACCACAAAAGAUUCACUUACAAAAGUUAUUCUCACUUGUUUGCCUCUCUUCUUGAGGCAGAAGAGGUUCCAUCCUGGGGCAAAACCUGGAAGUUCGUGAAUCUUCUCCCUCAUCAGAACAAGCCACUCUGGGACAAGGGUUGGGAAACCUUUGAAGUGGAAAAGCAGCCUCCAGUGCCUGAAUAUGUUCCCCUCUCAGAUGUACCACAGGGCAAACAGUCAGAAUGGGGAAUGUCAUGGAAGGUUUGUGGCCCUCAGCCUCUGGAGUGGGAUGACACUCCAAAAGUAUUCCAUCGUAAAGAUAAAGUGCUGUGGUCAAGGAGAAGGUGCAACGAUGACCUCUAUUCUCAUCUCAACUCCGAGGCCCUGUCACAGAAAUUGUGGGGCACAUCUUGGAAAUUCAUGAAGUCACAGAGUAAACUUGUGCCCCAAAUAAGUAAAACCUCAUCCAGUCAGUCAGAUAGCUCACUUAUAAUGCCCAAAAUAAAUAAAACAAAGAAGCACAUAUAUUCUGGAAUAGAAAAAUCCAGUCCACCACCAAAGAGGUGGACAGAUGCUGCGGAACUAGCCAAAACCCAACCCCGGACAAGGAGAGGCCCCACCAGAGGAGCCAAAGGCAAAACAGAGGCUGAGAAUAUGGCACUUGAAUGGGUUGAUUCAUGGAUGUUUUCAAACGAUUCAAUGAGUUCAAUGGAAAAAACAUUUUUGUCUGAGUGGGGUAACUCCUGGAAGUUCCUGCUGGCGCCCUACCCUACUGAAAAGAAAAGUCCCUCAUGUAAGUCCAUUUAAGAAUGUGUGGCAUCUUGGUGAAUCUUGGUUUAUUUAUUUACAGUUACAAUUCAACUUGUACAACAAAGUGCCCUUGAUAGCAUGUCAUGAUACAAGUCAAUCACCAUAUAUUAUAAUUGUUUUCAAGAACACCAUACACAAGAACCCUUUUUGGAGGUGGUAGUGGCUGGUUGAAGUAUAUUACCAAAAACCUACAAGAGGCUGAUGAUAUUGAUAUUGAGUAGGCACACAAAACCUUACACAGUCUUUGAAUGGUAAGAUGUUGUUUGUGUGUGUUGGCCAUAAAACAUUUUCUACCAGGUGAAACUACACUGUAAUAAAGAAACUGUGCAGAUCA
ensembl:lncRNA